UACCGCACUGGUGCUGGAUCCGAAUGGAUCCGAAGCCUGUAGAAGGAUAACAAAGGCACUCCACACUCUACUCCUACUUAAUACGUCCCCGGCGUACAGAGCGGUAACGUGUCUCUCCAAACAUCUGAGCUUGUGUAUACGGGGAAACCCAACCCCUUGGGAGGAUGGGUGAUAUGGCUAAAUUGAGAGGA
rnacentral:ribozyme from 1 species